rnacentral:lncRNA from 1 species
GACGAGCGAGAUUGGGAGAGGGAGGAGAGAGGCGAGCGAGAGAGGCUAGGGAGUGGAGAGAGGCGAAUUGUAUGUGUAUAUCCGUCGAACUGUAUAUGUAUAUCUGUCAGAUAAUUGUAUAUAUGUAUUUCCUAUACAUAUGUAUUUGUAUAUCUGGCGAGCGAGAUUGGGAGAGGGAGGAGAGAGGUGAACGAGGGAGAGGCGAGCGAGAGAGAGUAGAGAGUGGAUAUAAACUAAUUGUAUUUGUAUAUCUGUCAUAUAAUUG